UACGGGGGGGGCAAGCGUUGUUCGGAAUUACUGGGCGUAAAGGGCUCGUAGGCGGCCAACUAAGUCAGACGUGAAAUCCCUCAGCUUAACUGGGGAACUGCGUCUGAUACUGGAUGGCUUGAGUUUGGGAGAGGGAUGCGGAAUUCCAGGUGUAGCGGUGAAAUGCGUAGAUAUCUGGAGGAACACCGGUGGCGAAGGCGGCAUCCUGGACCAAUUCUGACGCUGAGUGAGCGAAAGCCAGGGGAGCAAACGGG
rnacentral:rRNA from 1 species